GGGCGUCGGAAAGCGGCCUUCUGGGACUCCGCAAACUCCCGUUCUCCCUCCCCCCUCCCCCUUGCCAUUCCCUUUGCCUUCCGGGCGCCAAGUCUCUCUGGCCUCCAAGGUGAACCCAACUCCCCAGCGCGCCCCGGGUUCCCGGGUCGGGCCGGCUUCAGGCGGUGGGGAGCGGGAUCCCGGGCCCCGGGCGGGCGGGAGGGACGGGACGCGGUGCAGUGUUGUUUUUUCCCCCGCCAAUAUUGCACUCGUCCCGGCCUCCGGCCCCCCCGGCCCCCCGGCCUCCCCGCUACCCCUAGCGGGGCAGCCCCCGCCCUCCUGGCUCUCCAUCCCGGCGGAUCUUUGAUAGACUGGAGUGUCGCCGCUGCCACCACGGGAAAAUGGGUCAUGGAGGAGUGACUUCACCAACAUCACUCAUAGGUGCUUGUGUCCGUGGUGAGAAGGGUGAUGGAGAGAAGUGGCUGCAGUUCCCACCCAUGGAGAGGUCACUGGUGAAUCCCAGCUAAAGAGGAAGGACAGGCCCGGCCUGAGUCCCACAGGCUUACCAUCUGAGUCCUUCUGAUUGGGAUUGGGUACCAGGCGGCAGUUAUCGGGACCAGGAGGCACAUAAUCUGGGAUGCCAUCAUUGUCAUCAUCCCCAUCACACUCAUCUCCAAGUCCAUCGUUAUCAGAGUCCAGCUGGGAGCUAUUUGGCAGCUGUGGGCAGUUGUCCUUGGUGUCCUGAUGCCCAUCCCCAUCGCUAAUCAGAAGAACAGAUCACACCCUUGUGAUGGACAAACUGCUCAGUACAGUCCCACCCACCCAGCCUCCUUGUCCUGGGCACGAGGUUUUUGCCUCCCUGAUUUGGAGUAUUUGGCCCUUACUAGAGAGCUGCCAGAUGAGGGACAUUUCCUUCACCUGGAGAAGGAUGGGGAGGAGUCAGCACUUGACAUCUGCCACCCUACCCCAGAAUCAGUGCCACCCUUCGCCAGCCCACCCAAACCUGGUCUCGUAUAUCAUCCCGCAGCUCCACCAGGAUCUGGUUGAAGAGGAACUCAGAGGCUCCUCCCGGCUCACCUGCAUCCUCAAAUACGCCUUCUGUCCAGUCCUAAUCUCCAGCCCAUCGACCUCCGCUGGAGGAAUGGGGGCCAGUGCUGGAAGGCCUGCAUGUUGGUCACCCAGUUUGCAGUCCACGUAGAGAUGUAGGGCAGGGCUGGGUCUGGAGGGACCUCGGAGUCGCAGGAGAACUGUGUGUGUGCGCCCAUCAGCCAGGCCCGCUUGCUGUAGGUUCACGGCGUGGACUUUGCCAUCCUCCCGCUGGUAUCGCACCAGUACUGCCCAGGAGGGGAGAUCAGUAUGGGCGCUAUCCCCCACCCCCUGCCUCCCAGCUGAGCCUUGGAUCAACUCUGCUAGAUACCACAUCUCUAGGGCCCCUAUCCCUAAUUCUACUAUGUGGCUCUCAACACCUUGUAUUUAAUAGGUACACAAUAAAUGUUUUUGAAAUUG
rnacentral:lncRNA from 1 species